rnacentral:rRNA from 1 species
UACGGGGGGGGGCAAGCGUUGUUCGGAAUUACUGGGCGUAAAGGGCUCGUAGGCGGCCAACUAAGUCAGACGUGAAAUCCCUCGGCUUAACCGGGGAACUGCGUCUGAUACUGGAUGGCUUGAGAUUGGGAGAGGGAUGCGGAAUUCCAGGUGUAGCGGUGAAAUGCGUAGAUAUCUGGAGGAACACCGGUGGCGAAGGCGGCAUCCUGGACCGAUAUUGACGCUGAUGCGCGAAAGCCAGGGGAGCAAACGGG